AUGGUGCUCCUGGCAGGGCUGAUGGUGCCUGGGCAAGGGCGUGGAGGCUUUGGAGAGCUUGGCCUUGGUGGAGCCAAGUUUGGGGUGAGUGGCGAGGAGGGCACAGGCUGGAGGAAGCGGCAGGAGGAGGCGGGUGGAGUGUGGACUCUCUCCUGGGGUUGGGGGACCCGGGGAAGCUAUGAGGUGCAGGUGGAAGGCUGCUGCGGGGGAACAGGAGGACAGGGUGGGAGGGCCCUGGGGGUCUGGCGCUUCAAGGGCCGGGUGGCCAGAGUUGAGCGAGCCCUCCAGCGGCCCCAGUCUGGGUCCUGGAGCAAGCUCUGGGGCCUCUGGCUGCCUGUCUUAUGCAGGCAGCUUGUCUCCUUGGGUCCCCUCAAGCCGAGCUCCGUCUCUCACCUGGGUUUUCAUGAUAUGGGGGCCCUCAGACCGUUCUGCCUCCCGGGGUGCCCCUUGGCUGUGGGUCGACAGGCGUCCCCAGCCACUGUGUGCCCCGCGGCCUGGGCUCAGUGGGCGCAGCAGGGAGCAAAACCGAGCUGCCUCAGAUCGCAGCGUGCCGGGAGGCUUUCCGGGAAGCAGCGGUCGCCACCCUCAGAGCCUGCCCCGGGGAACUCCUGGGGCCCUGGGGGUGGCGUGGAGGUUGUCUGUGGGGGACCCCGAGGUGCCGACGGACAUGGUGCUUGUUCUCGGUGACACAGCAGGGUGAUGGCAGAGUCCGCCCCUGUCUCUGUCCAUGGUCCCCAUGUCCCCACUGGUUCCUGGACCCUGCUGCACGGGCUCGGAGGACAGUGACACAGCCUCCUGGGGACGGCAGACAAGAGUUGGCAGUGGUCUGGAGCUCUGCCCAGGUGUCCAGCGUCCCCUUUCCUGGGCACCUCUCUGCCUCUCUGUCUUCUCUUGGUACCUGUGAAGGGUGGUUUUGGCAGCUGCUGACCUCCAGGGACCAGACGUGAGAGUAGUCUUCAACAGGAAUGGUGACUGGUUAGUUUAGCUCGUCUCAAAGCCCUGCGAGCCGCUGGGGGCUGUGUGCCGGCUCUGUGUCCUGGGUACCUGGGCUGCGCCCGCCCGCCCCGCAGCCUCUCUGAGGGGUUCCCUGCCUCCCUGGGCUGCAGCUCCUCAUGCCUUUCUCACACCCCUGUGUCAGGAGGGGUCCCGUGCAGAGUCGGGCGGCGCCCUGCUCACCAGGCGGCAGGCAGCACGCCCGGCCAAGGGCACCGACCAGGUGCGCAGCCCAAGCUCCUGAUGGGGGACUGGGGUACCGGGCUGAGGUUGGAGCCCUCGACUUGUCCUGCCCAAAGGCCCCUCGUAGUCAGUCCUCCUGGCCCCUGAUGGCCCCUGUCUGGUUGGCAAAGGCUCCUCGGCUCCUGCCCUUGGGGUGACUUGGCUGUGGCCACCUGGCCCUGUGGGCUCAUGACACGAGCCGGGGUGGGGAAUUAGGGGACACGAUGACCCCAGAAGGCCCUUCUUAGGUCUCCGUAUCUGGUGGAGGUCACGCAGCACCUCGGGCUUCUAGGCGUGGCUGAAGUGUCAGUGUGAGACCCGUGCCCUUGUUUGGCAGACGGCUGGCUGGGAGCACCACCCCAUCUCACAGUCAAGGCAGCUGGGCCGCGGUGUCCUGACAAAGGCCGCCCGGAGGCCAGCGGUGGGUCGGCGUGGGG
ensembl:lncRNA